rnacentral:rRNA from 1 species
CCUACGGGAGGCUGCAGUGGGGGAUAUUGCACAAUGGGGGAAACCCUGAUGCAGCGACGCCGCGUGUGGGAAGACGGUCCUCUGGAUUGUAAACCACUGUCCCCAGGGACGAAGAUGACGGUACCUGGGGAGGAAGCUACGGCUAAAUACGUGCCAGCAGCCGCGGUAAUACGUAGGGAGCGAGCGUUGUCCGUAUUUACUGGGUGAAAGGGGAGCGUAGGCGGGAGUGCAAGUUGGGUGUCAAAUCUACCGGCUCAACCGGUAGCCGCACUCAACACUGCAGUUCUUGAGUGAAGUAGAGGCAGGCGGAAUGCCUAGUGUAGCGGUGAAAUGCGUAGAUAUUAGGAGGAACACCAGUGGCGAAGGCGGCCUGCUGGGCUUUUACUGACGCUGAGGCUCGAAAGUGUGGGGAGCAAACAGGAUUAGAUACCCUAGUAGUC